rnacentral:rRNA from 1 species
UCUCGAGCGUUGUCCGGAUUUAUUGGGCGUAAAGCGAGCGCAGGCGGUUCUAUAAGUCUGAAGUAAAAGGCAGUGGCUCAACCAUUGUAUGCUUUGGAAACUGUAGAACUUGAGUGCAGAAGGGGAGAGUGGAAUUCCAUGUGUAGCGGUGAAAUGCGUAGAUAUAUGGAGGAACACCGGUGGCGAAAGCGGCUCUCUGGUCUGUAACUGACGCUGAGGCUCGAAAGCGUGGGGAGCAAACA